rnacentral:pre_miRNA from 1 species
CCGAGACGGGCGGAUCACGAGGUCAGGAGAUCGNCGAUCUCCUGACCUCGUGAUCCGCCCGUCUCGG